UUUUUUAUUUCCUCCGCUUUGCCGUGAUAACGAGUUAAUUUCAGUGGUUUAUCGAGAAGUCGACUUAUUUUUCCACGUUGUCUCGACAAAACAACAAUCCGGUGAACCGGGAAUCCCAGUCUUUCACCAGACAGGACGCUCCGCUCCACGGACCACAGACAGAGAGUCUGACCCAGACUGUGUCUGUUCUGGAGCAGCUCAGAGAACUGCAACAACCUCAUCAAAUUCACCAGAAGGAGCUGGACAUCGUGAUGACAAUGUGGAACACCGGGAUCCAGCCAGGCACUAAAAGAUACGAUCCAUUCCAUGGAAAACCUUUCCUCUGUAUCAUGAACCAGAACUUUACCGAGCACAGGACGACCACCAGCCAGUGGACAGAGGGGACAUUGUCUUGGAAGAGGACAUCUGUCUUUGGAAAACUGACUUUGUAUGUGAUCCAGAUCUUCACCAGCUCUGCCUUGUGGUCAUAAAUAAACUGAAUCUUGAGGCAGGUCAUGAUGCUGCUGAGGCAACCAGACUGUACAGACAGCUGAAGACUUAAUGAGAACACAGCUGUCAGUCAGAUUAACCCCCACCGACCAAAACUGUUGCCACAACAGCCAAUAUUAAAAACUUUAGCCUACCGCUUUGAGCACACUUCCAUUUCCAGUGUUUUAUACACACCUGUUUUCUGAUUUUUUUUCUUUUUUCACAGUGUUAGUUUGUAUGAAACGUAUCAUGGAUGCACUGAAACAAAUAAAUGU